rnacentral:rRNA from 1 species
GUGUCAGCAGCCGCGGUAAUACGAACUGUGCAAACGUUAUUCGGAAUCACUGGGCUUACAGGGUGCGUAGGCGGCUUGCUAAGUAGGGUGUGAAAGCCCCCGGCUUAACCGGGGAAUGGCGCCCUAAACUGGCGAGCUGGAGUGAGAUAGGGGUGUGCGGAACUUCCGGUGGAGCGGUGAAAUGUGUUGAUAUCGGAAGGAACGCCGGUGGCGAAAGCGGCACACUGGAUCUCAACUGACGCUGAGGCACGAAAGCCAGGGGAGCGAACGGGAUUAGAUACCCGUGUAGUCC